GGGGUUGUCCACACUUGGAGUCUCCUUAUUCUCACCUCUCACUCCUCACGGCCCUGUUGGCCGUCCUGCUUCCCCGGCUUCCCUGAUGGCAGCCUCCGUGGUUCUGCAGCUGCCCCUCUCGGCCGUCUUGGCCAGCUUCCCUCCUCUUGCCACCUCUCCAAUGUGGCACCUCCCCGGGCAGCGCCAUGCUUGGCUCUGGGGGCUUUCAGCACGGCCGUGGCUGCAGUGGCCGGCCAUUGACUGACUCCCUGGAUAUCCCGUCUGCAGCCUCUGAUGUCCAGAGCCACCUGCCCACCGACCCCCAGUGCCCUCAUUGCUGGCCUCAAAGGCCUCUCAAACCCAGCGUGUCUGAAAUUGCCUCUUCCGCAAUUUCCCCAUCAUGGCAUCUGGCACCAUUGCUCUCCAGCCACCCCCAGCCCAAGAGCUGACCCCUGCCCUUCCCACACCCUCUGUGCCUCGCGAAGCCCUGCCCUUCUCCCAUGAUGCCCUUUGCACCUCCUCCGCCACUGCCCACUGUGCCUCCACCUGAGCCCAGGCCACCAUCAUCUCCUGACC
rnacentral:lncRNA from 1 species